AAAAAAGCCGGAAUAG
rnacentral:tRNA from 1 species